UCAUCGGAAACAAUGGCCGUGGAAGCUAUUCUCUCAACAGUUUUGGGACAGAUCAUCGAGUUGACAGCCUCUCCUGUUAUCCGAUAUCUGCGCCCAAUUUGGGGAGGAGUUGAUGGGGACCUGAAGAAGCUCGAUAGCUAUUUAGUCCAAAUCAAACCUCUGGUUCAAGGUGCAGAGGAGAGGCAGCUCAUGGAGGAUAAUGUCAAGUCAUGGCUGAUGUUGCUCAAAGAUGCUGCCUAUGAUGCUGAGGACAUUCUCAAUCAGGCCAACACACAUGUCCUACUCAUCCAGCGCAAGGCCGAGUUUUACGGUCCCCUGAAAAGCAAGGUGCGUGACUUUUUCUCUCUUCAUCAUAACCCACUCCUGUUUCAACUUCAGUUGGGGCACAAACUUAAAAGCAUCAACAAAAGAAUAGAUGAUGUCAUAGAGGAGAUGCACAAGUUCAAUUUUAAGGUUGCAGACAACAACAAUAACAACAACAGACCUUGGAGGAAUAGGCCACAGACACAUUCAUAUGUACCUGAUUCAGAAGUGAUUGGCAGAGAUGAAGAUAAAGAGCAAAUUGUGCAGAUGCUGAUACAUGAUCAUUUUGAAGAGAAAGUGGCUGUGGUUUCCAUAGUCGGUAUGGGCGGUUUAGGCAAGACAACACUUGCUCAGUUGAUCUAUGGAGAUGAAAAUGUGAAGAAUCACUUUCAACUAUGCAUAUGGGUAUGUGUGUCUGAUGAUUUUGAUGUGGCAAAACUUGCUAGAAACAUCAUGCUCGCUGCCUCUAAGAAACCUUAUGCGGAUACAAACAUGGAGGUGCUACAGCAGGAUCUACGGCAAGUACUGGGGCAGAAGAGGUAUCUUCUUGUACUUGAUGAUGUUUGGAAUGAAGAUCACAUGAAGUGGGAUGCACUUAGACAUCUGCUUCUUGAUGGGGCAGAAGGAAGCAGAAUUUUAGUAACCACACGCAAUGACAACUGCUCAAGAAUAAUGGGUGCAAAAAAAUCUUGUCUUCUACAGGGUUUAUCAGAAGAAAGCUCCUGGGCUUUGUUCGAACGAACAGUAUUCACCACAAGUCUAUCAAGACAACCAAAAUUCCUAGAGAUUGGUAAAAAAAUUGUCAAUAAGUGUAAAGGGUUACCUCUUGCAAUACAAGUAAUGGGGAGUCUCUUGCAAUCCAAUAUCGAAGAAAGUCAAUGGCAAGCUGUGUUAGAUAAUGAAAUAUGGGAUAUACCACGUGCUACAGAUAAAAUCAGACCAGAGUUGUGGCUAAGCUAUGUUAAUUUGCCUUCUGAAGUGAAGAAAUGUUUUGCCUUUUGUGCCCUUUUUCCGAAGGAUAGUGUUAUUGAAGUAGAUAUGCUGGUUCAGUUUUGGAUCGCUCAUGGGUUUAUUCCAUCUCAAACUGGAAAAGACAUAGACGUUGAAGGCCAUGAGAUUUUCAGUGAAUUGAUAUGGAGAUCUCUUCUGCAAAAUGUUACUGAUAUGAGUGCUGGUAUCACCCAUUAUUAUAGCUCUGACGGUAUUUAUCAUGGUCAUCGCAGAUUUUGUAAGAUGCAUGAUCUCAUACAUGACCUUGCACAAUUUGUUACUGGAGAUGAGUGCUCCACAUUGCCUGGAAGUAACGAAUUCAAGAAAAUUUCAAAAAGGACCCGUCAUUUCCUAUUAAAUCGUUAUGUAGGAAAUGAUUUGGGUGAUCGAGCCCCUAGCGUUCGCACUGUAUUACCUGUUGGAACAAACUUCAUUGGAUUGUCAAAGUUGAAGUUGGUCAGAGUGUUACAGUUGGGUUAUGAAGCAAAUGUUGACAAGCUGCUGUCUACAUCAAUAGAAUAUUUGCACCAUCUAAGAUAUCUCAAACUUUCUGAUACUGACAUAAGAGAACUACCAGAAUCAAUCUGUAUGCUUGUUAAUUUGCAAACAUUGAAUCUGAAUGGUUGUUCUCAACUUGCUAAACUUCCCAUGAGCAUAGUGUACAUGAACAGUCUUAGACAUCUUCAUCUUAGUGAUUGUCCAAAACUAAAAAUCAUGCCGUCUGGUUUAAGUCGAUUGCGUUGCUUGAAAACAUUGACAAAAUACAUUGUCUCUGAGAAAGCGGGGAACAAGAUAGGAGAGUUAAAGCAUUGGAAUCUUGACGGUGAACUUGGGUUGUAUGACCUCCAUGAGGUGAAGAAUGCGGAUGAGGCAAAAGAAGCUAAUAUGAGUAGCAGACAAAGCAUUAACUCAUUGUCCCUGUCUUGGGGAACAUCAGUGGAAAAUGCAGAACAAGUGUUGGAAGCCCUGAAACCUCACGCCGCUUUAAAAGUGCUCAGUCUGCAUGAUUAUCCGGGCACACAGUUUUCAAUGUGGAUUAGAGACGGACAACUUCUUCAAAAUCUGGUUGAGAUCAACCUAGAUGGUUGCCAAAGAUGUGAACAACUCCCGCCCCUGGAGCAAUUACCUUAUCUUGAAGAACUCAUUAUUAGUAGAAUGGAUGGCAUCAAAUACAUUAUUAAUAACGCCACAGGCGAUGCAUUAUCAUUAUUCCCUGCACUGAGGUAUCUUUCUUUAUAUGAAAUGGCUAACCUGGAGGGGUGGUAUGUGGAGGAUUAUAGAGAAACGGCUCCACCCAUGUUCCCACGCCUUAAGAGAUUGACUAUUACUCGAUGCCCGGAAUUGACAACCAUGCCACCACAAAUUUCAACUCUCGAAUACCUAGAGAUAACAGAAUCUUACUGCGGGACACAAACUGCACUCAUGCCCAAGGAGAAGGGGUUCUUCAAGCAUUUGAAAUCUCUUGAGGAGUUGUGGCUAAGGAGAUGUGAGGAGUUGGCUUUGCUGCUGGAAGACAAGGAGGAGACAAGACCCUUAAGCUCAUCACUUCGUUCUUUAAGUAUCAUUGAUUGCAGUAAGUUCCCAUUAUCAACGGCUUUGCAGAACCUUACCUCUAUCGAAACACUCUCGAUGUAUCAUUUUGAAGAGCUGGUGUCCUGGCCGGUUGAGAUGUUAAGAGGUCUAGAGUCCAUCAGGUCUCUGAAUAUCGGGUCAUGUAAGAAUUUGACAGGUGCUGCAUCAUCACAAGGAGAUUGUGGCCUAUCGUUUCUAGAGGAUCUGGAUGUUUAUGAUUGCGAUGCACUGAUAGAAUUGCCGAAGUGCCCCACAUCACUCAAAAGCUUGUCUGUUUGCAUGUGUCCAAGCAUCAAGUCUUUAUGUUCAGAUAUGGGACACCUCACUUCAUUAUCUCAAUUAAACUUAUUUAAAUGUCCAAAGCUGGAGUCUCUGCCAGAAGGGAUGCAAGGUCUGACUUCCCUUCAAUAUCUGUUAAUUAAAGAUUGUCCAGCGCUGAAGUCAUUCCCUGAAGGCCUCUAUCAGCGGCUUCCUACUCUUAAAAGUCUUGAAAUCAGUGGAUGCCCUAAGCUAGAGAGGCGAUGCAGUCCAGGAGGAGACUAUUUCCACCUUGUCUCUAGCAUCUCAGAAAGAUCCAUAAACAGCAGCCCUAGAAGGACACUACUAGCACCUUGUCUCUAACAUCAUGAAAGCAUAAAUAAUAAGUCAUGUUCCUUCUUAAGUUUGAUGAAUGAGCAAGAGUUCUAUGGGAGAAGAGACGCAAUGGUUAUUAGAUCAUGCACCUGACAAUACCGAAAAGGCCCCUGAUGUCUCGAAUCAGAAUGCAUGAAAAGAGUUUCACUACCGAAAGUUAAUUAGUUCGGUUAGCAAGUGAAUAUGUUCUUUAGUAUUAUUGCCUUAAGAUCACAGUCAAAAUUGCAAGGAAAGCAGAGGAAAAGAUAAAUCUUUCCCAUUGAUCUCAUGUCUUUCAAUGUACAUAACUCUCGAGGUGUACUCUUGCUAGUUCUCAUUUAUGCAGCUUCCCUGAAUUGAGCUCAUUGUCCAAACCAGCUUCCAAUCAUUUUAUCAGUGACUAUACUGCACCAAGUGGGACCACAGUUCAUUCUGAAGAAGGUAAUGCCCAGCUGAUUAAUGUAUUGUUUUGCAAAAGAGUUUGGAAUUUUUUCCUUCAAAGAUUUGGACUUGUAUUAGCUUGAGUCUAGAGUAUGCUUGUCGCAUAAUCGAUGCUAUCUAUGACUCAGCAAAUUACCAAAGGAUAUAAGACUCAACAUGUUAAAGAUAAAAUCCCCUUGGAGAAAUCAAUCAAUUGGCUUGGUUUUCCUGAUUGAACUUUUAGGAGGGAUUUGGAGUAACUGGUGGUUAUUUCUUGGCAACAAGAGGAAAGACUGGAAAGUUCAUUUCGUUAAAGAUGGAUCUUCGGUCGCUGUUAGCACCAUCAGCAAUCAGCUCAUUACUUGGACAAUCAAAGCCAUAGUUACAUGUUUUUACCAACAGAAUAGUUUGAGAAUGCAAAAGUCAACCCUUUGUUUUUUUUUUUGCUGUGAUUUCAGAAUCAAUUAUAAAAAUUGUGAAUUGUUGGUUCUGCUGGCAUUUCUCUAUUCAUUUUUCUCCCUGCUCUUGUCAAGUUAUAAUCUUUUUGGUUUUAAUUUCUAUCCUAGUUUCUUUUGUUUGUUGAAAAUAUAAUCCAUUAGAGCUCUUCGAUUAAAUAACCGUUGCCUUUGUGAAACAAUUUCAUCUAGGACCUAUGUUUAUUUGUUUCCUGCAUCAUUCUUAAGUGCUUUUGAUAUAUAAGAUGACUAGCAGGAUUCAUGUUUUAGGAUUCAGUUUUUUAUUUUAAUCUGCUGUUGAUGCUUUUAUCAUGAUGAAUGCAUAAAUUCGUUUUUAAUAAUUUGAUAUAUUCUUGCAAACAAACUUGAAUGCAGACUGCCUUUUUAAUAUUACCAAAUACUCUUUUUUUGUGGUAUAAUAGAGCAAGAGACAUGAAUGGAACGUCCUGGAGUAAGUCAUUGUUACUGCCUUUUCCUUAAUGUGGACCACUGGCUUUGUUGGUUUCAAUAAGUUCACAAUGUCUUCGAUUUUGCUGAGCUUGAGCAAAAUUUUGGUGGGAGAUAUAAAGGCAUGCUUAUCAAAUUCUGGCUGUAUCCUCCCAACAAGAGAAUAACAAGGACCCGAAUGCCUGGAAUCCAGAUGACAAAGAAGAGUAUUUUUCUAAUUUUCAAUUAGCGAGCUUGAUGCUGGGUGUCCUACAUGUGAACAUGUUUUUCUAUAUUGCUGCCUGCCUCAAUAUACAUCACCAGGACUUGAAAAGACAUGCACGAUCAGUGAUAACAAUUGAAGCAUGGUGUUCUUAAUUAAUAGCUCAUAACCAUCUGAUUUUCUUUUCUUUGUUAUCACCAUGCAUCUUCAUGCAGGAAAACACCAUCUUUGGUAUCAAUUUAUGGAACUCUUGUGGUGUACAAUGCUGUUGGUUUCCAUUGAUAGAACUUCUCUUAAUUGAUCUGACUGUUCAAGCGCUCUAAUCAUUUUAUCAAAGAAUAUACUCCUAGUGGUUGAAAUUGUAAUAUUACCAAGGUAAGAGCUCAGGCGGUGCAGGAUUUUUGUUUUUUUACAGGUGUUUGAUGCUAGUAAAUUAUUCUAUGCAGGAAUCGAAGUUCAUAUUUGAUUGGUGAUAUGCAGCUGAUUCCUGUGAAUUUGGAGUUUUCUUUUUUCCUUUGAUGAUAUGGACCUGUAUUGGCUGAUUCUUGUAUGAGCAAAUGUCGUAAUUCUGCUAGAGCUUCUUUUAACAAGGAGUAAAAAUUGAGUACAAUUAUUGUGGAUGACAAACAGAAGUUCAUGCAAUUGCAUGGGUCUCACCUCUUGUACUGGCCGAUUGAGAAUGUCAGAAUUCAACAUGGUUCACUUGCUCUUCAGGUUAUUAAAUCAAUCAGAGAAAUUUUAUACUGUUGAUUCUACCUCACAUUGUUUC